AUUCGGUUGAAUAGCCAAUCAUUUCAAAUCAAGUUGAGCGGGUCUGCAUCGUGAUUUUGACGAAGUUUGAAACCAGUGGUAAUUUUUUGACACUUCAUCUAGAUUUAAGAAGAUUCUUGCCUGAACAACUGCUCGAACUCCCGGGUUGACAUGCUCUAAAGGUAUAGUGAAUUCAGUAUGCAGAUUAUUGAAGGGAAAACAUCAAGACAGGGCAAGGAAGACAACAAAACAUGAUUACCCAGAUUGAGGAUCCCAGUGUUCUUUGUCUCAAGCUACCCAGCCUACCAUGAGAAAAUUAAAAGAUCUGUCAUGAAGAAGAGGCUGGUUCUCAACUUUCAUAUUAUAAAUGGCA